GAUGAACGCUGGCGGCGUGCCUAAUACAUGCAAGUCGAGCGAACGGACGAGAAGCUUGCUUUUCUGAUGUUAGCGGCGGACGGGUGAGUAACACGUGGAUAACCUACCUAUAAGACUGGGAUAACUUCGGGAAACCGGAGCUAAUACCGGAUAAUAUUUUGAACCGCAUGGUUCAAAAGUGAAAGACGGUCUUGCUGUCACUUAUAGAUGGAUCCGCGCUGCAUUAGCUAGUUGGUAAGGUAACGGCUUACCAAGGCAACGAUGCAUAGCCGACCUGAGAGGGUGAUCGGCCACACUGGAACUGAGACACGGUCCAGACUCCUACGGGAGGCAGCAGUAGGGAAUCUUCCGCAAUGGGCGAAAGCCUAACGGAGCAACGCCGCGUGAGCGAUGAAGGUCUUCGGAUCGUAAAACUCUGUUAUUAGGGAAGAACAUAUGUGUAAGUAACUGUGCACAUCUUGACGGUACCUAAUCAGAAAGCCACGGCUAACUACGUG
rnacentral:rRNA from 1 species